GCGCUUGACACACCGCCUCUGUGGAAUCUGUUCCUCUAGUCCUGCCGAGAAUCCUCCUUCUCCGAGCUCUUUUCUCUGUGGAUUCCGGAAAAACGAGGGAGAUGCGGCACCGUGAGGACGGAAGAGAAAGUUCUCACACACUCAAGGUACAGUACAAAGAACAUUCAGAACCCUGCCUAUCCACACUACUUGGAGAGGUGCGCCGCUGAUUCUCAGGACUUCAUUGAAACUCCCAAGACUUGGUGGUGACUCAACAGACUUCUUCAAGAAGCGUGUCCUCUUUGCUUUCGGGACAGUGCGUAGAAGAGCUAAGAAUGGUUCGUUGUGGUAGGCUUUCCUACAAUACAGCCUUUAACAAAACUAGGCUCGCUCGAAGCCUCCGGGAAAGGAGUGUUUUACCUGUAAGCCGAUAAAGUUGGGAGAAGCACCAAAAUCUUCGUGCUGUGGGAGCUGAGUCCUUUCGAGAUUGUCUAAAACAAACAAGUUUCUAGCAGAGCCGAUGCACUGGAUUAAAGGCAGGUGGAUCUCUGUG